rnacentral:tRNA from 1 species
AGCUUUAUAUUCAAUUAAUGAUUUCAGAUUGCAAAUUUGAAGGUGGGAGUUUUCCUAAGGCUU